rnacentral:rRNA from 1 species
UACGUAGGGUGCAAGCGUUGUCCGGAAUUAUUGGGCGUAAAGAGCUCGUAGGCGGUUUGUCGCGUCUGCUGUGAAAUCCCAGGGCUUAACCCUGGGCCUGCAGUGGGUACGGGCAAACUAGAGUGCGGUAGGGGAGAUCGGAAUUCCUGGUGUAGCGGUGAAAUGCGCAGAUAUCAGGAGGAACACCGGUGGCGAAGGCGGAUCUCUGGGCCGUAACUGACGCUGAGGAGCGAAAGCAUGGGGAGCAAACAGG